rnacentral:rRNA from 1 species
UACGAAGGGGGCUAGCGUUGCUCGGAAUCACUGGGCGUAAAGGGUGCGUAGGCGGGUCUUUUAAGUCAGGGGUGAAAUCCUGGAGCUCAACUCCAGAACUGCCUUUGAUACUGAAGAUCUUGAGUGCGGGAGAGGUGAGUGGAACUGCGAGUGUAGAGGUGAAAUUCGUAGAUAUUCGCAAGAACACCCGUGGCGAAGGCGGCUACUCUGGGACGGUACUGACGCUGAGACGCGAAAGCGUGGGGGAGCGAACAGGA